CAGAGAGAGAGGCAGAGACACAGACACAGGCAGAGGGAGAAGCAGGCUCCAUGCACCGGGAGCCUGACGUGGGAUUCGAUCCUGGGUCUCCAGGAUCGCGCCCCAGGCCAAAGGCAGGCGCCAAACCGCUGCGCCACCCAGGGGUCCCUAAAAUAAAAAUCUUAAAAAAAAAAAGUUCAGCUUUAAUCUUUAGGGGCUCCUGGCUGGCUCAGUUGGUAGGAUAUGCAGCUCUUGAUCACAGGGUCCUGAGUUCAGCCCCAUGUUUGGUAUAGAGCCUACUUAAAAUCGAGAAGAAAAAAAAGAUUCAGCUUUAAUCCAGCCUCACAUCAGUUCACAUGAUUCUUUGCUCUGAACUCCCAUAGUAUCUGCUACCUGUAACACCCACAUUUAUUUCUUGGUUACUUAUUAUCUUGCAACAUCUUUGCUCUACCAUGAUGAUUUAGAAUGUGAGCUCCAGAGGGGUGCCUGGCUGGCUCACUUGGUGGCGUAUGCAAUUAUUGAUCUUGGAGUGCUUAACAGAGGUCGAAGGCGGAAGGUGGCAGUCACUUGGGGAUCACUGUGGCCAACACAGAUCUGGAAGCAUGAUUCGUCACUGCAUCUGGGGUUCACCAGGCUCAAGAGAAUCCACUUGUAUCAACUGGUGUGAGGUAAAUUCCCUGGAAUUUGAUCAACCAGAUGUCCAAACGCCCAUUCUCAGAAAGCCUCCUGGAAAACAGACUGUUGUCAAAAGAUCCUUUACAGUGUGGAAUCAGAGGCCAGGGAGCAGGCGAUUUUAACCACUGGUGGCAUUGAGGCCUGGCCACUCCGGCCUGGCCAGUCCCUUGACUCUGCAGGGAUGGCUUUUGCUGCCUGGCGUACUGCUCAAAGCACCCUCUCCGUGGGCUCUGUCACCGGAGGUAACACCAACCAGAGUCUGCUCUUCAACGUGCUAGUUUCCAAAUUGCAGGUGGAUCCCCCCCGCCAUGCCUGCACUCGAAUAGGACAUCCUGUCCUUAGCCAAGUGACAAAACCAUUAGUUCUCUGACAUGCCCUUUUAGUUCUAGAUCUGACUGUGCACUGUAAAUGGUUUUGAGGGUUGCCCCAGUCUUCAAUGGCAGCGUAUCCACAAACCUACUUCAAAGGGGAAUAAUUUUACCUCUGGUAUGAUUGAUUUUCAUUCUCCUGGGAAGGUAACCAUCUCUUAAGUUCUGAGGAUACACCACGGGCAUAGGCUGCCUACUGUCUUCCUUUAAUGGUCAUAGCACCUAUUAUUACUUGGUGUAUCAUUUCAUUCAUUCAACAAGCUUUUUAAAGAUUUUAUUUAUUUAUUCAUGAGAGACACACAGAGAGAGACAGAGACAUAGGCAGAGGGAGAAGCAGGCUCCCUGUGAAGAGCCUGAUGUGGGACCCAAUCCCAGGACCCUGGGAUCACGACCUGAGCCAAAGGCAAAAUCUCAACCGCUGAGCCACCCAGGCGUCCCUCAUUCAACAAGCUUUAUUGAGCACCUGCUGUGGGUCAGGCAUUAUGCUAGGUGCUGGGGAUACAAAGGUGGGCAAAAUGAACAUCUGCCCCCAGAGUGUGUAGCCUAGUGGACAGAAAAUGGUCAUAAGGCAGUGAGAUUGUUUUUGGUUUUGUUUUGAGAUUGGUAUUUCUAACAAACAUACAGAAUGGAGAUUUCUAAAUGAGUCCUCUCCUUUAAAAGUCACCACAGGAGAUGAUCCCCGCCCCCCUGCCCUUCUAACAAGGCUGCCACUGAUCAGGAAGUUUUGUUUGGGGGCACCUGGGUGGCUCAGCUG
ensembl:lncRNA